AGAAGAGAGGACCCCAGGCCUCCCUGUGGGGGCCGUCGCUGGCAUCGUGACUGGGGUCCUGGUCGGGGUGGCUCUGGUGGCCGCUCUGGGGUGUUUCCUGCUCCACACAAGAACUGGAAGGCCAAGGUCCCUCUGACAGCUCCACCUCUCUGGUAAGUCCCCCUGCUAUCUCUACACAGGGGACUAGCUCUGCAGGCUCAGGGGCACUGUCAACCCCCACACAGCA
rnacentral:lncRNA from 1 species